UUGUAAUAAUUUAAUAAUUUAUCACCGCGUCAGCUUGUUGUUGUUUACUUUAGAAUUAUUAUUAUCACAGACUACAAUCUAGUAUAGAGACAAAAUUACUGUGUCAAUCUGUCAUCUGUAGGAGGUACUGAUACUUUGUGAGCUUACUAUCUAGUUUACAGACAAAGUUACUCUGUGCCACUUUGUGAUCUCUAGUUCCUGCCUACUCUGUGAGUUUAGUUUACUAUACCGAUGACGUCAUAACAUGGCGUCUAGGUAGCAUAGCUACCGUUUUCGUCAACUUGCGCGCGAAAAUUUAAAAUGCAAAAUUUAAAUGAUUUUUUUUGGUACUUAUCGAUUGAAUAAAAUUUAAAAAAAGAUUCUAGUGGUAAAUUAUCACCUUAGGAUUAAAUUGAGACACUUUUCAAAAAAGAGUAAAAUACCCUAUUAAACUCUAUAUUAUCGUGCGCGCUA